ACGGCAUUCCCCCCGGAGGUCAUCAAAACACUGCAUUCUUACGUCGGAGUAUAAAGUUAAUUUAAUAAAACUUUCAACAACGGAUCUCUUGGUUCUGGCAUCGAUGAAGAACGCAGCGAAAUGCGAUAAGUAAUGUGAAUUGCAGAAUUCAGUGAAUCAUCGAAUCUUUGAACGCACAUUGCGCCCCCUGGUAUUCCGGGGGGCAUGCCUGUUCGAGCGUCAUUUCACCACUCAAGCCUCGCUUGGUAUUGGGCGUCGCGAGUCUCUCGCGCGCCUCAAAGUCUCCGGCUAGGCGGUUCGUCUCCCAGCGUUGUGGCAACUAUUCGCAGAGGAGUUCGAGUCGUCGUGGCCGUUAAAUCUUUCAAAGGUUGACCUCGGAUCAGGUAGGGAUACCCGCUGAACUUAAGCAUAUCAAUAAGCGGAGGAAA
rnacentral:rRNA from 1 species